UGGGGAAUAUUGCACAAUGGGCGCAAGCCUGAUGCAGCCAUGCCGCGUGUAUGAAGAAGGCCUUCGGGUUGUAAAGUACUUUCAGCGGGGAGGAAGGGAGUAAAGUUAAUACCUUUGCUCAUUGACGUUACCCGCAGAAGAAGCACCGGCUAACUCCGUGCCAGCAGCCGCGGUAAUACGGAGGGUGCAAGCGUUAAUCGGAAUUACUGGGCGUAAAGCGCACGCAGGCGGUUUGUUAAGUCAGAUGUGAAAUCCCCGGGCUCAACCUGGGAACUGCAUCUGAUACUGGCAUGCUUGAGGCUCGUAGAGGGGGGUAGAAUUCCAGGUGUAGCGGUGAAAUGCGUAGAGCUCUGGAGGAAUACCGGUGGCGAAGGCGGCCCCCUGGACGAAGACUGACGCUCAGGUGCGAAAGCGUGGGGAGCAAACAGG
rnacentral:rRNA from 1 species